UUUAAGAAACACUUGCAAAAUCCUAAACUAUACCCCCUACACUUACCAAGCCGCACGCCAACACCGAAAAACCAGAAUACCAAAAUUGAAUAACAAAAUUGUGACAGAAAAUAGAGAGCGAAGAAAUAAGAAUUUUUCAAUUGACAGGAAAUAUGCAGAGGAAGGGAAACUACAUCAGAUUUCUUAAGAAGAGAGAGAGAAAAAAGAAAAAAUACAAAAAGAAUUAAAAUUAAAAUAAAUUCCUAUCCUACUAAAUCUCAACCCCCCUUUAUCCUACUAACUAACCCACUAACUAUCAACCACCUCUGAACUCUAACUCUACCCAAACUCUCUCAGACAACCCGAGCAAAAAUUUAUCACCC
rnacentral:lncRNA from 1 species